GUUUUGCAUUAUUUAACUCCAUUACUCUUUACUUACACCUUGACUUGCAGAUGACUUGAGGUCCACAUUCAGUGUGACAUCACUGCUACCCCCAUCAGGAAACACUUGCUGGCGCUUGAAGGGACAGAAACCAAAGCUCUGCAGAGGUUCAGGUGUAAAGCAAGACUCAGUGUGGGGCCUCUGGAUGGCAGCUGACAGAAACAGCUGAUAUCAUGAAUUUAGAUGAGGCCUAAAAAAAUCCAACCGGCACCGAACCCAGACACUGUGUCUGAGUCUGGUCAGACCCAUCUAUUGACAUUAACACAGCAGAUUCAAAGGAUUGUAUGACCUCCUCAUACAAUUGGUGGCCACCAAAUGCUCCAGAAACUUGUUAAUCAUCCCUUCAUUCAAGUCAGGUGUUUGGAAACAAGGAAACACCUAAAACAGUGGACAGGGGCGCCGGCAAGGUAUUAU